CUUUUCCACUUUCUUUUUCAUUAAUUACUAGGCGGCAGAUGCGUUUCCAUGAGAACGGAUGUGCACCAGCACAGGUGUAGAAGAUUCCUGCAAUGCAUACUCAUUACAGAAGAUACGGAUGAGAACACAGAAAAAUUAAUGCGGCCUGUAAUUCUACCAUCAAUGUUAUACUCGGAACCUCUUGGUAUGUCUGCUUCCAGGUGCUGAGUCUGCAGGGGGCCAUCCACAGCAGGGGCUGCAGGAGGCGAAGGCACCCUACAGUCAGAAGACCCAAACCUGGGCUCAAACCUCGUUCUUAUGCUGGUUAGCAGCAUGGCCUUGACUGGACUGCUUGGCUGCCUUGGGUUUCAGUUUCCUCAUCUGCAAAAUGAGCAUAAUGGCAUUAUGUUCCUCACAAGGCUUCCAGUGAGUUAGGUUGGUGGGUGGCUUCUGCUCUGUACCGUAUAGACACUAAAUACACUGUAGUAGGUGUGUGUCUACACAACACACCUCCAUACAGGUACAUCAUUUUGUAAAAUACAAAAUUGGGAGUCUAGAGACCACA